rnacentral:rRNA from 1 species
GAUGAACGCUGGCGGCGUGCCUAACACAUGCAAGUCGAGCGUGAUUAAGUGGAGUGAGGACUUCGGUCUGAGUGAAACUUAUGAAAGCGGCGGACGGGUGAGUAACGCGUGGGCAACCUGCCCCAUACAAAGGGAUAGCCAUUGGAAACGGUGAUUAAUACCUUAUAAGUCGGUAGUCUCGCAUGAGAUAGCCGACAAAGAUUUAUCGGUAUGGGAUGGGCCCGCGUCUGAUUAGCUAGUUGGUGAGGUAACGGCUCACCAAAGGCGACGAUCAGUAGCCGACCUGAGAGGGUGAUCGGCCACACUGGAACUGAGACACGGUCCAGACUCCUACGGGAGGCAGCAGUGGGGAAUAUUGCGCAAUGGGGGAAACCCUGACGCAGCAACGCCGCGUGAGUGAGGAAGGUCUUCGGGUCGUAAAGCUCUGUCAGGCGGGAAGAAAUGCAUGGAGGUGAACAGCCGCCAUGCUUGACGGUACCGCCAGA